rnacentral:lncRNA from 1 species
CACCUCUUUCACAGACCCAGGACACGAAGAAAGCCAGAAGGUUUGGGGAUGGCUGGAUCUGCAGGACUGUUUUUCCUUCCCUAAAAGAGCACCUUGCCUUCCUGCAUGGACCACAGGAUGGUGUGUGUGGCCACAAAACCCAGAAGGACCCAGAACCUCAGCUUCAACGAGGCUCUGCUUGUCCCCAGUGACUGAAGCCUCCCAGGGCACUUAGCUGACCUGGGGAUGAUGGAGGGGAGUUGGGGCUUUCAUGCUGGCCUUCCAGGGAAGCCUUAGGGCUGGCCCAAGUCUGGAGGAAAAGCUGCAUGUAGGAGUGACACCAUCUUAAAGCCCAUUCUUUGGAAGCCAUCAUGAUGAAAAAUGGCACACACUGUUCUUCAAUCUCACCUCCCUCCAGCCUUCUCAAGCAAAGCAACAACAACACACUCAUCACCACUUCUAAGACACGAGAACUAACUUCAAACAAGCCAAUUGUGAAAUCCUGAUUUUUCUCCUUAAGUAAGUUAUGGAAUUAUUGAAAACCAUUAGGAAGGAAGGGCUGAUUCCUACCUAACUGGUCUCUCUUCAGUCUUCUCCCUGAGUUACACACUGAGACCUUUGCCACGACAGAAAUGACGUUCGUUUUAACCCCGGAUUCCUGGGCUUUAUGGUCAGGAGGGUUCUUCUAGGGCCCCCACUCACAGCAAGCCCUUUGUAAUUUUACACGUAAGUGAAAUCAACAGUGACUGUCUGCACAGGGGGUUAAAAGAGUUCCUGUCAGCAAAAGGGCAGAGACGUGAAACCGAACUCAGGACACUGCAAAGAUGCUUGGCUCCUGGCCCACUUGUGAUUAUCCCUCCUCCAUUCGAUUUAUUCACAAAGUGAGUGAGACUGAAUGGCUGGUUUCUAGCCAGAGGGGACUUCAAUAUUUGAGUGAGGGAGACAGGAAAAGACCCAAAAAUCGUUAGUGUCCCCACCCUAGGACACUGGCAUAUCCGUGACCUCUCUGAGUGCUCUGAGAAAAAUGAGGGAGGUUGGUGGGCACAGUGGCAGACAGGUGGCUGCUGGAGUCUCCCUCUUCCCACGGGACCCUCCUGUCCCUGGCACCACAAUCUCACCUCCUUUCUCACUUUUCAGUUGCAAGGAGGGAUGCAUGGUUUUUUUAGCAAAUAAAAUAUAAGACAUCUGGUUAAAUUUGAAUUUCAGAUAAAUAAUUACAAUUUUUAAAUGUAAGCUUGUCACUGUAUUUUAUCUGGUAACCCCUUGCAAGGAGCCUGCAGACCCCAAGCAAAUGUCUUCCCUUAAUCUAGAAAACACCUUCACCCAGGAUGGGAGCGACAUGAGCCAUCAGGCCUUUUAUUUGCUUUUAAUAUACUUUGGUGUGGGCAUAAGUAUCUUAAAUAAUUGAACCUGUAAUUGCACCAUAAAAACAAUGAUGCUAAUACAAAUAACAGCCAACAAGCAUGGAGCGCGUACUCUAUUGUUGUAGACACACGAGCCCCAGAAAAACUCUGUGCAGAGGAGAAAACUGAGCCACAGACAUGUUAGCAACUUGCUGAAUUAAAGACCUUUUGGUAGGUCUCUGAAACGCUCACACAGGACAAGCAGGUUUUUCCUACGUUUGCACAAAGCUCUGCUGACUGUAAGUCUUUCUCUCUGGUGUAGAUCUAUAUACACACAUAUGUGCAUGUGCAUCCUGCACAAAUAGUGUGUGUGAGAGAGGAAGUAACAGAGAGAGAGACAGACAGAGAGAGAAGGAGAAAAAAAUCACCCUGGACUUAGCUCUGGGCAUCAAAGAAGUGGCUUCAUCUUGACUUGCUGCCUCAACUGAUUGAAGCAAUCCCAAUAAUUGGUCAUGAUUUUUCUGCAAGGAUUCAGCUGCGUAUUUCUUGGUGUGGGGACAGAGGAUGAACCCCUCAGGCUUUCCUCUCACUAUGGUGUCUCUGGUGGGAACAGCUGGGGAUGCAAAGCCAUUAUGAUGUCGGAUAGGAGAGAAACCUGCUGUGCCCUCAGCCCUUGAGGAUUGCUUGGUGAGAAUGCGGAGCCAGGUCCAUCCCAGGAGGAAAAGGCCCAAACUCUAGGCAGCUUCUCCCAGGGACUUCACAGACACUUUUUAUGUCUUGAAUACCUGCAUUCCCAGACCCAAACCCACAGUUCCCAGUUCAAACACCUGGUUCUAGUGCCUUUUCCGCUGCCCAGGGAUGCCCCAGGUGCCACCGCUCCCAGUCUCUCCAAGUCUUUACGCAAAUAUAAAGAACUUCUCACUGGCAGGGAAUAAUUCUUACAAGGCUGUGUGGCAAAUGGAAAGUUUUUUUUUUUCAGCAAAACAAAGAUUCUUUUAACAUUUGUAGAAAGUCAUUCAAGGAACUGUUUCUGAAGGCACUACUUUGGAGUUUGGACUGAGUGUGGGAGAGUGCGGGGUGAGGGUGUGUGGACAACAGGGUGUCUUUGCCUGACAUGAAAAUUUAAAAAACAAAGAAAUAAAGGGGGUACUUGAGGGUGAAAGAUAAACUCACAAACAAGUCAAUAAACUUCCUUUUCAGAGUUACUGAGCACACAGGUGACUUUUACUGAUUUAUUUAUUUUUACUGGCAUUAUAGUUUACUUUAUUCUCCUUUCUAAAUAGUUUUCACAGAAAGAAAAUGCUGA